CCUUCAUGAAGCUGGAAUUGCUAGUAAUGGCAGGUCAGCAUACUGCCGUGAAUACGUUCCCGGGCCUUGUACGCACCGCCCGUCACACCAUGGGAGUUGGUAACGCCCGAAGUCAGUGACCCAACCUAUAAGGAGGGAGCUGCCGAAGGUGGGACCGAUAACUGGGGUGAAGUCGUAACAAGGUAUC
rnacentral:rRNA from 1 species